GCCAUACGUCGUCACCCAUAGAAACGGCUUUCCGCGGGGCAGACUCCAAGUCUCGCCUGUGUGAGCGGGCAGGGGUAGCAGGAAAGGCUGUUUUUCAUUUCCAAGAGAAAACCGUCACCCCGCCCACCUCGAACCUCCUCCCAACAUCUCAGGAUAGAAACGCCGCGCUCAGACUAUGAUUUGUAGACCUCUACAAGCAAAUAUGUUCAGAUUUCAACAUCUGGCCAGAUGUGAGUCAAAGAGUUGUUUUCAAGGCUUGGCUGUGUUAGAUAGUCUUGUGGUUUGGGGUGUUUAGUCUGAAGGCAAAGAGUGCCCUUUUUUUUUUUGAUACAGAAUAUUGCUCCAUUGCACAGGCUGGAGUGCAAUGGUGCAAUCUCAGCUCACUGCAACCUCUGCUCAGAAAGAUACAAGUCUUCUCAUUGGAAAUGUUAACCAAGAUGAAUGAAAUGGAAACCAACACCUGGACAUGUCAUGGUGAAAUGUUAGAACACUGGGCACGAAGGAUGCUCCACCUAACUGAACAUAGCAGAAGCCUCAUAACUUGCAUGGACUUGGGUGUAAAGCAUUCUGGGGCCUCAGGCAGG
rnacentral:lncRNA from 1 species